UGGGGAAUUUUGCACAAUGGGGGCAACCCUGAUGCAGCGACGCCGCGUGUUUUAGAAGGCCUUCGGGUUGUAAAAAUCUUUGGUAUGGGAAGAAAAUGACAGUACCAUACGAAUAAGGACCGGCUAAUUACGUGCCAGCAGCCGCGGUAAUACGUAAGGUCCGAGCGUUGUCCGGAAUCAUUGGGCGUAAAGGGUACGUAGGCGGAUAAGCAAGUUAGAAGUGAAAUCCUAUAGCUCAACUAUAGUAAGCUUUUAAAACUGCUCAUCUUGAGGUAUGGAAGGGAAAGUGGAAUUCCUAGUGUAGCGGUGAAAUGCGCAGAUAUUAGGAGGAAUACCGGUGGCGAAGGCAACUUUCUGGCCAUAAACUGACGCUGAGGUACGAAAGCGUGGGUAGCAAACAGG
rnacentral:rRNA from 1 species